ACGAACGCUGGCGGCGUGCUUAACACAUGCAAGUCGAGCGGGGAUUAGUGAGGUGCUUGCACCGAUCUAAUUCUAGCGGCGGACGGGUGAGUAACGCGUGAGCAAUCUGUCCUACACAGGGGGAUAACACUUGGAAACAGGUGCUAAUACCGCAUAAGACCACGAGGUCGCAUGGCCACGGGGUAAAAGAUUUUAUCGCCUGAAGAUGGACUCGCGUCUGAUUAGAUAGUUGGUGAGGUAACGGCCCACCAAGGCGACGAUCAGUAGCCGGCCUGAGAGGGUGAACGGCCACAUUGGGACUGAGACACGGCCCAAACUCCUACGGGAGGCAGCAGUGGGGAAUAUUGCACAAUGGGGGAAACCCUGAUGCAGCGACGCCGCGUGAGUGAAGAAGUAUUUCGGUAUGUAAAGCUCUAUCAGCAGGGAAGAAAAUGACGGUACCUGACUAAGAAGCCCCGGCUAACUACGUG
rnacentral:rRNA from 1 species